rnacentral:rRNA from 1 species
AACGCAGCGAAGGGCGAUAAGUAAUGUGAAUUGCAGUAUUUUCAGUGAAUCAUCGAAUCUUUGAACGCACCUUGCCGCCCCUUGGUAUUCCGGAGGGGCAUGCCUUGUUUGAGUGUCAAUUAAAUCCUCAACCGCGCCGAUCGUAUUUCGGUGGGGCUUGGACUUUUGGAGCGUGCUGGCGAAGGUCGGCUCCUCUUUUAAAUGCAUCAGCGGAAGAAACCUUUGUCUUUCCUGCCCUUCGGUGUGAUAAUCGUGUUGCGCCGCGGUGGAACUUCAACGAUCCGCUUACAAUGGUCUUCGGACGAAUACCUCAUGUCAUCUUGACCUCAAAUCAGGUAGGACUACCCGCUGAACUUAA